rnacentral:rRNA from 1 species
AUUGAACGCUGGCGGAAUGCUUUACACAUGCAAGUCGAACGGCAGCACGGGGGCAACCCUGGUGGCGAGUGGCGAACGGGUGAGUAAUACAUCGGAACGUGCCCAGUCGUGGGGGAUAACGUAGCGAAAGUUACGCUAAUACCGCAUACGAUCUACGGAUGAAAGCGGGGGACCGUAAGGCCUCGCGCGAUUGGAGCGGCCGAUGUCAGAUUAGGUAGUUGGUGAGGUAAAGGCUCACCAAGCCGACGAUCUGUAGCUGGUCUGAGAGGACGACCAGCCACACUGGGACUGAGACACGGCCCAGACUCCUACGGGAGGCAGCAGUGGGGAAUUUUGGACAAUGGGCGCAAGCCUGAUCCUGCAAUUCCGCGUGCAGGACGAAGGCCUUCGGGUUGUAAACUGCUUUUGUACGGAACGAAAAGGCUCUGGUUAAUACCUGGGGCUCAUGACGGUACCGUAAGAAUAAGCACCGGCUAACUACGUGCCAGCCGCCGCAGUAA